rnacentral:rRNA from 1 species
GUGGGGAAUAUUGGACAAUGGGCGAAAGCCUGAUCCAGCCAUGCCGCGUGUGUGAAGAAGGUCUUCGGAUUGUAAAGCACUUUAAGUUGGGAGGAAGGGCAGUAAGUUAAUACCUUGCUGUUUUGACGUUACCAACAGAAUAAGCACCGGCUAACUUCGUGCCAGCAGCCGCGGUAAUACGAAGGGUGCAAGCGUUAAUCGGAAUUACUGGGCGUAAAGCGCGCGUAGGUGGUUCAGCAAGUUGAAGGUGAAAUCCCCGGUCUCAACCCUGGAACUGCAUCCAAAACUACUCAUCUAGAGUACGGUAGGAGCGAGUGGAAUUUCCUGUGUAGCGGUAAAAUGCGUAGAUAUAGGAAGGAAAACCAGUGGCGAAGGCGACUACCUGGACUGAUACUGACACUGAGGUGCGAAAGCGUGGGGAGCAAACAGGAUUAGAAACCCCAGUAGUCC